CAAUGGGCGCAAGCCUGAUCCAGCCAUGCCGCGUGUGUGAAGAAGGCCUUCGGGUUGUAAAGCACUUUNNNCCGGGAGGAAGGNGCUCNNNUUAAUACCNGGGGCUNUUGACGUUACCGNCAGAAUAAGCACCGGCUAACUCCGUGCCAGCAGCCGCGGUAAUACGGAGGGUGCAAGCGUUAAUCGGAAUUACUGGGCGUAAAGCGCGCGCAGGCGGUUUGNUAAGUCAGAUGUGAAAUCCCCGGGCUCAACCUGGGAACUGCAUUUCGAAACUGNCNGGCUAGAGUCUGGUAGAGGGGGGUGGAAUUCCNNGUGUAGCGGUGAAAUGCGUAGANAUCUGGAGGAACACCGGUGGCGAAGGCGGCCCCCUGGACCNAGACUGACGCUCANGNGCGAAAGCGUGGGGAGCAAA
rnacentral:rRNA from 1 species